UGCUCAAGUCAUAUGUUUUGUUAAAUCAUACAGCAAAUUCAAGGGGAAAGAGAGGGAGUAGGGUCACAGCCUCAGUAAAGGAGCUAGCAGAAUGGAAAGACUCCGUGGAUCUAGUGUUAGCCAACAUUCACGCGUCCUUUCUUUUGUCUGCCAUAUCAGCCUUCCCUGCUGGGGGUGUGGUUUCAAGGACCAGAGUGUAGGGCUGACAGGGAGAGCUGAAGCCAGUGCUCACUUUCUCCAGCAGAGAGGCACGGGCUCAAGGGUUCCUGGCCGGUAGCUCAUUGACAACUUGCUGAGAAGCUGUGGUUUUUGUCUGCAUCUCUCAGCACUGCCCAGCCUCCAGACAAGCCCGCUGAAGGAUAAGAAACCACGGGGAGCAGAGACUGGCACCUCACUCAGCCAGUCCCCAACUGAUGCAGCAACUGACUGCAGACACACGAGCAAGCCCAGCCCAAAUCAGCUGAGUUUGGCACAUUCAGCAGAAAUGUCCAGAUGACCAAGAUAUUCAUGAGCAAUGAUAAAUUAUUGUUGUUUUAAGUCA